AGUGAACGCUGGCGGUAGGCCUAACACAUGCAAGUCGAACGGCAGCACAGGAGAGCUUGCUCUCUGGGUGGCGAGUGGCGGACGGGUGAGGAAUACAUCGGAAUCUACUCUGUCGUGGGGGAUAACGUAGGGAAACUUACGCUAAUACCGCAUACGACCUACGGGUGAAAGCAGGGGACCUUCGGGCCUUGCGCGAUUGAAUGAGCCGAUGUCGGAUUAGCUAGUUGGCGGGGUAAAGGCCCACCAAGGCGACGAUCCGUAGCUGGUCUGAGAUGAUGAUCAACCACACUGGAACUCAGACACUGUCCAGACUCCUACGUGAGGCAGCAGUGGGUAAUAUUGGACAAUGGGCGCAAGCCUGAUCCAGCCAUACCGCGUGGGUGAAGAAGGCCUUCGGGUUGUAAAGCCCUUUUGUUGGGAAAGAAAUCCAGCUGGCUAAUACCCGGUUGGGAUGACGGUACCCAAAGAAUAAGCACCGGCUAACUUCGUGCCAGCCGCCGCAGUAA
rnacentral:rRNA from 1 species